rnacentral:sRNA from 1 species
UUGAAAGCCCUGGAGACUGAAGUCUUCUGUUUAUUCACAGAACAGGUCCAGCACAGGCAGCAAACAUCCCCCAUGCUGCCCUGCCCAAUGCACUCCAGCCUUGAUUUGCUGGGUGGCUCAGUCUCCAGACCCCAUCAGUCCCUGGCCCCU